rnacentral:rRNA from 1 species
UACGUAGGGGGCCAGCGUUGCUCGGAAUUACUGGGCGUAAAGGGUCCGUAGGCGGUGUAGCAAGUCGAUAGUGAAAUCUCUGGGCUUAACCCAGAGGCUGCUAACGAAACUGCUGUGCUAGAGUGUGAGAGAGGCGAGUGGAAUUACGGGUGUAGCGGUGAAAUGCGUAGAUAUCCGUAGGAACAUCCGAGGCGAAGGCGGCUGGCUGGAUCGCAACUGACGCUGAGGAACGAAAGCGUGGGGAGCGAACAGG